AUUGAAUCUGGUCGCGAUCGGAUGCGUCACAUUGUACGGAUGUAAUUAACCUCAACUUAUCUAUUGCGUAAAUAAGAAUACAUAAGACAUAUUGGACGCCAACGACCGAAUUUGAGAACUAAAUAUGGCCGCCAACGAACGAAUUUUGAGAACCAAAUAUGACUGUCAAAGAACGAAUUUGAGAAUCAAACAUGGUCACCAACGAACGUAUCAGAGAACGAAGUAUGGACGCCAUGAUAGUUCGUCUUUGAAUCUGCUAACUUUUCGUGAAAACCUGGUAAUGUUGAAUUUAUUAUAAUGAAGCCAGAGGAAUUUUUGCGGCCGCGCACAAUGCGACUGGUAGAGUCAGUGUUUGUUUACGUAUGAAGUAUCAAGUUUCCUUUUCAAAGUCCAGUAGUCCUUGCAAAGUAAAAUCAUAAUUGUCAUACGCGAAGAUAGAGUCAGUGUUUGUUAGUCCAUCAAUAUUUAAGCGGUCAGUUCUUGCCUGGAGAGGAACCAGCGGUGCUCUGGAUGCUAAAAAUAAUUUUGCAGCUACCAUCUUCAAUGCAUCCAGCAAGUCUGCCUUCAUGACAGCCUACACCAUAACGGUCUGCGCGACGUCGAUUUUCUCCAUGACUUCUCAGCAAUUGCAGCAACGUUCUCUGCAUCAUUGAU